rnacentral:rRNA from 1 species
GAUGAACGCUGGCGGCGUGCCUAAUACAUGCAAGUCGAGCGAACAGAUGAGGAGCUUGCUCCUCUGACGUUAGCGGCGGACGGGUGAGUAACACGUGGAUAACCUACCUAUAAGACUGGGAUAACUUCGGGAAACCGGAGCUAAUACCGGAUAAUAUAUUGAACCGCAUGGUUCAAUAGUGAAAGACGGUUUUGCUGUCACUUAUAGAUGGAUCCGCGCCGCAUUAGCUAGUUGGUAAGGUAACGGCUUACCAAGGCAACGAUGCGUAGCCGACCUGAGAGGGUGAUCGGCCACACUGGAACUGAGACACGGUCCAGACUCCGACGGGAGGCAGCAGGAGGGAAUCUUCCGCAAUGGGCGAAAGCCUGACGGAGCAACGCCGCGUGAGUGAUGAAGGUCUUCGGAUCGUAAAACUCUGUUAUUAGGGAAGAACAAAUGUGUAAGUAACUAUGCACGUCUUGACGGUACCUAAUCAGAAAGCCACGGCUAACUACGU